CUUACCCUGGCGUAACGUUUUGAUAACAGUGUAAAUCUCUCUAGGACAAGGUGACUUUGAUCCAUAUAUUCACCUGCAUUUAACCCCCAAAAAUGAAACGCUAAUUAGCUGCUAAUGUGGCUAUCCUAGUAACUUCAAGAGCCAGUGUCUUUGAAAAUACCCUACAACAAGGUACAUAAUGUUUCAAGUCUGAUAAACAAGCCUACUUUCUCAAAGUUCUGUUCCUACCAACUGUAUGGGAUGAACAGGAAAAUCUGUUAAGUGUGUACUAUAAAUGUGGUAACGGUUUGACAUCUGUGAUAUUCUCUGAAGUUGCAGAUGCAGAGGACUUGAGGCCAUGUGCCACCUCAAGCCAGAGCGACAUUAGUCCAAGUGGCAGCCAGGAAGAAGCUGGCCAAGACAGAGCAUCAGAAUCAGACCAAGAGCUGCCAUCCCUGCUUGAUGAGCCUGUGGCUUCUGAGAUGCCUGCUGGAUACAUUAAAGGUAUAUUAUGCUAGCCUAUAUGUUACAACAUGUUGCUUCUCUUGUAUUGUCAACAUCAAUUCCAAAUUGUUUGGCUGUCAGCAGAUACAUGGUUAUCAAUACUACUAAUAUAUAUGAAAGGUGGAUAUUUUGAUCGAGGUAUUUCACAUGGCCUUGAUCCAUGUCUUGCCUGGUACUCAUGGCUUGUAUUGUCACACUACU